CUCGCAUCACGCUUCUACGCUGUCCCAGGGUUGGUGAUAACUCUGGCCCUGGUGGGGAAGCUGUGUAUGCAGACCACUGUGUUUGUCUCUGUACUCUACGGCAUCGAACUCUUCCCUACGCUCAUCAGAAGUGUGUGGGCUUGGUGUGUCUGUGUUACAGGGUGGGCUGUAUCCUGAAUGCGGUGAUCAGUCCUAGAGGAGAAACCAUCCCAUUGGCCGCUAUGAUCCUUUAUGGGAG